AAAAUACGGGAGGCAGCAGUGGGGGAUAUUGCACAAUGGGGGGAACCCUGAUGCAGCAACGCCGCGUGAGUGAAGAAGGCCCUAGGGUCGUAAAGCUCUGUCGUAUGGGAAGAAACAAAUGACUGUACCAUACAAGAAAGCCCCGGCUAACUACGUGCCAGCAGCCGCGGUUAAUUUUU
rnacentral:rRNA from 1 species